rnacentral:tRNA from 1 species
GCGGGUAUAGUACAAUGGUAGUACAGCAGCCUUCCAAGCUGACUAUGUCGGUUCGAUUCCGUCUACCCGCUCCA